GAAAACUUUGGCUCUCAUUAGAUCACCAAAGUUAAGCAAUAUCAUGCUCAGUCAGUACUUGGAUGGGAAGACCACUUGGGAACACCAGGUACUGUAAG